GUGUAUUUUUAGAACGCCGGUCUGGGUUGGGUUAAAUCUUGUUGUUUCCUCCAAGAAAUUGGUUCACUGGGAUAUUCCAGGAUUUCGGAGUCGGUAUAAACUUGGAACGGGGAAAGAACUUGGCCCCGUAGCUGAAAAAAGAUGAGGCCUCUGUGUGUCGUUUCGUUCCUGGCUAUCAUAUAUCAAUGUGCGCAUGCUCAGAGCACAUGUCCAGCCACUGGUGCCGACUGUAGAUACAACAAGGUAGCCGUAAAGCCAGCAACAAACAAUGAACCCAACAGGCAUUACUACAUAGGCGGUCUGUUCGGUAUUCACGAAAGAACCAACGAUGCCUACGCAUGCGACAAUGCUCCGAUUCGAGAAGAGGAACUCAUCAACUUGGAAGCGUUUCUCUGGGCCAUAGAUAGAUACAAGAGCAUUCAUUCCAACAUUUCCAUAGGCGGGGUGGCUUUUGACACUUGCUCUCGUUACCAAAAAACCAUAGAAGAUAUUCUCAGUUUUGAAACUUGCAAAAUUAGAGUUUCUGAUGUGAACCCACCCACGCCACGAAAUCUGUUGGCAUACAUUGGACCAGGCGAUAACUACGACGCCAUGUCAUCUGCACGACUUCUAAAAGAUAUGAAUAAAACACAGGUUAGCUACGGAGCCUCGACCAAUCUGUUGUCCAACAAGGGUGAAACUUACGAUUUCUUCCUGAGAACUGUUCCCAGUGAUGCAAUCAACAUAAAAGCUUUGAGCACGUUGAUAAGUAGUACAUUAAAUGCAAAGUAUGUACAGGUUCUUCACACGAAGGAUGACAUCGGAAUGGCUGAGUACAUGAAAUUCAAAGAAGAGGCUGCAAGUUCGGGUAUUUGCAUUGUCUAUCAUUCUGGCUUUUCUGCAGAUCCAUCAGCUUCAGAAAUCAUGACUAUAGCUGAUGCUGUGUUUGAUAAAGUUAAAACUAGGCAUGUUGUUGUCCUGGCUCCGGAAUCUCAGGCCAAAAAUUCCUGUCUGAAAUGAAAAACAGAAAUCCGCAAUAAAUUUACACAAUUGAAUUUUCUUUGGAUCAUGGAAUCCCAGAGCUAUAAAGGGACUUGAAGUAAACGCGUACACUACUAGCCUCCAAAGCCCUUCCAACUAUGACACUGAUGUAAAUAGCUUUUAUUUACAUUUAGACAAUUUGAAGCCUGGAGAAAACUCAAAAAACAGAAAGUGGUACGAAGAAUACUUUAGAUCCAAAGUAGGUUGCAACAGUUUAAACUGCGACUACACCAAUAAAACUAUACUCGGUAAUAUCAGAAAAGCCCACAUGUCCCGUACAUUCUUGCUGCGGUAAAAGCAGUUAUUCAGGGGGUCAAAAACGGAGCCACCAAGGCAUGCACUUCAGGCGACCUCUGUUCCAACUAUCUUAACGUUAACAAUCGUGGUCAGCAGAUCUACACUGGAAUAAUCAACACCACUGAUCUAAGUGUGCCCUACUUUCAAACAAGCGGAAGCAUGAAAGGCGAUGCUUCCAAUUCAUUGAGCAAUUUGAAAAUACUUUUAUAUGAUGCAUCAAAAAGUGAAUCCAUCGAGGUUGCAACUUACAACCCCAGUUUAGGUCUGCAAUUAGAGAAGACUAUAACAGCAUACUCAUCCUCUUGUCCAAGCUCACCCUGUCUGGAAUGCAACGAGUUACCUGUAACAACAACUUCAACAGCCAGUCCGACGUCACGUGUCACCGUUUCCACGACAACAGAUCCCACGGAAGGUGGGAAAUACGCACUGCUGAGAUUUCCUUAUAACGAGGAGAUGACCGGGAUUUUCCCUCCGUCCGGAAGCAGAGAUCUAUAUGAUACCAGAUUCAAAACUGGUCAAAGAUGGAUCAUUGCUCUGGGUGUUUUGGCUGGAUUGGGUGUUUUAGCUGUGCUUAUUUUUGAGGUGUAUAUUCUAUACAAGUUGCUUGGAACACGAAUUGGGCGACAGUGGCGUACCAUGUGGUUAGGCCAGUUGUUAUUACUUGGGAUUUUCUUGUCUUAUUUGACUCUCUUUGCUUUUAUUGUCAUUCCGACAGAUGUCACUUGUGGUAUAACGAGAUUUGGGGUAGGUUUCUGUUACUCCAUUCUUUUUGCUGUCUUGUUAGUCAAACUCAUGGUUUUGUUAACAUCGAAAUCCUCCGACUCCAUUCUCGCCGAUAUGGAAUCACCAAACUACCUCAAGGGUAUUUACCAAUUCUUGAUGUUUAUGUUUGCUGUUGGUGUUCAAGUUGUAAUAAACGUACAGUGGCUCAUUCAGGUCCCACCUUAUGCCGUCAAAGUCACGGCAAACUACGGAGGAGAGGAGUGGAUUUGCAAUCAUUUUACUUGGCAGGCCAGUAUGGGUUGGAACGACAUGCAGAACUUCGUCAGAACUCCAUUCGAAAACCACCUUCUCUCCCUUCUGUACAUAAUGUUUUUAAUUCUCAUGACCACCAUUGUUGCCAUGAAAGCACAUGGAAUUAUCACAAAUCAUAGAGAGAGUGUGUUUAUUGGGAUCGCUGCUGGGUUUUCUAUUCCGGUUUGGAUUGCUUGGGGCCUCGUUGGAGGAUUGAACCGCGACAAUGCCUAUGCUCACGAGUAUGGUGACGCUUGCAUUGCAUUUGGGUUGUUUGCCACUGCAACCCUUUGUUUGUUUGCUCUCUUUUUGCCCAAAGUACGACAACUCGUCAACAUGGGUGUGGAAGGAAUUUAUCUUGAGGACGACCGUGAUACCUACUACGCAGGCUCAGUGGUCAUGGCUCCACCAAGCUAUAAGAGCAGGCCAAGCUCAAUGAUAUAUGUAAAUUCAGGAGAGUAUUCCAAUCCAGUUGUCAUUGGCAAUGGAGAUCCAAACCACCUAAAGCACCCAGGCAGUAUGUACAGUGGUCACAGUGCCCCUGUCUACACCAAACGGAACGAUCUAGGGGGCAGCCGGGUCCUACGCGUGACCGGGGAUCUUACGGGAAAACACCCCACCGAGCGUAGGCGUCCAGUGUCCGAAAUCGGCUACUCGGGAUACGCUAGCUCCUAUAGGAAAACCAGAUCCGAAAGCGGCGGAACACUUAGAAAGUCUCGCUCCGAACGUGAAUUAGGUGCACUUUGAAGAGAGAAAAGUAAAAAGAGCUUAUUUGGAAAGAAAGAAACAUUUUUAUGAAUCAGCUGCCAUAACUCCUAAACUUUGGCAUCUUUGAGAAAAUGACAUAAGUGUAGUUCAUUGCCUUAAAAAAUCGAUCAAAUAUGCCGAAGGUGUCCGGUUCCAGUGCGUGAAAAUUUCAAAAUAUGACUUGCCAAGUAUCCAGUGACAUAAAAGAUGUCAAUUCAACUGUUAUUUAAAUCUUCUUUCCAGAACUUAUACUAGUUCUUUUACAGUUUUCACCUGUAGGAUUUAUUUCAAUGCGAAUGAUUAAAAGUUCUUUAUUUCGACAUAACUACAAGUAACGAUUAACUGCAUAAUAUUAAAUCGUUAUCUCUGUUCGUCUCUGUUGAAGAAUCUCAUAUUUUUUCAUAUAUGGAAUUCAUUUAAGAUCGUUAUUCUUGAUGUACGAUUUUUUUCAUUAAUGAAGGUGUGUACAUGCAUAUACAUGUAUUUUGUACAUAACAGUUUAUAUCCAAUGUUUGACUGUAACAUGUUUACACUGUGUGUGCAUUAGUGCUUCUGUGAGGCGAGUGAAUGACUGUAAAUAUUAAUUAUCUUUUUGUACUCCAUCAUAAAGUCAUUUCUGACUCUGAAAACAAGUCAGACUGAUAAAAUACAGUGACCAAAAUUAUAAACCAAUUAUGAUUGAUUGUCGAACAAUUUGAAACGCGUGAUUUCUACUUUGCUUAUCAGAUUUGCACAUUAUAUGACAAUAUGUAUUAGGUGAGAUAUAGUAUAUAUUUAUAUGUAAUAAAAAUAUUUUGUUAAAAUG
rnacentral:misc_RNA from 1 species